AGGUCCUAAAACCUUGAAAACUCAGGUCAGAUGAGGUGAACUGGCAAGUCCUGUCCCAGAUUAGCUACCUCACAACUAAACUAGGCUAAGAAAGAAAAAAAAUCCGCAAGUUUCCUUGCUGUGAAUUGAGAGCUACUGAAGAACUCCAAACAAGAUCAUUUGUGUGCGGAACAAAGGCUGCAUUUAGUACCAAGGUACAGUAGCACAAAAGAGUUAAUGCCAGAACUUCAGAAAGCCUAUUAUGAAUCUGUGAAAUGUCACAACUCCUUUGCAGUCUGCGAAACACUUUAUUUCCUUUUCCUUCUAAAACAUCAUUAUGCUUCAGUAGGCAUCGCAGAGUUGAAAGUAAUGGAAUGAGAUCAACAUCGCUGUUCUUUUCAGCUAGCGCUACUUUUUCCCUCUGAGAAAUUAAUCAGGGUGUGUGUGUUUUAAUACAGGAUUUCUUUAAAUACAGCACAUUUUAUAUUUGGCGUUAUGUCCUCAUUGCAGAUGGACUGGCAAUAUUGUGCCUGGGUUCUUCAAUAAUGGAAUGGGAUCAGAAGUAGUGUUACUUCAAGAAUGUAAUGCCUCUGAACCAUCUCUUUGACCAUCUGCCAGAGAUCCUUUAGCUAUGAUUCCUGCAUUGCAGGAGGUUGGACUAGAUGAUUCUUGGGAUCCCUUCCAAUUCUACAGUUCUGUAAUUCUCUGGCAAAAUACCAUUACCAAGGCCCUGCUGAUGAUAGCACAAACACCAUGGCAUUGAUAGCUAAAUAACACAUGUAGUUGGAUAAAAACCCGUAAUGCCAGUUCAAACCACAGGUGAUAGAAUUGAAUUUCCUGAUAAAUGGCCGUUCAGUUGACAAUGAAGCUUUUCCCCAUUUGCAAGGUAUUACUUGUAUUUUUCACAAACCCAAUUGCCACGCAAGCAUGAAUACUAUACUUCACCUGUUUGGUGUAUUACAGUAUUUUAAUAUUUUUUUGGAAGCCACCCAGAGUGGCUGGGGAAGCCCAGCCAGAUGGGCAGGGUAUAAAUUAUUAUUAUUAUUAUUAUUAUUAUUAUUAUUAUUAUUAUUAUCUCUCUUGUUUAUGAAGCUACGUCAUGCAACAUGUGACCGCAAAGGGCAAUGAAAAAUGAGAGAGCCAUGCAAUGGGUGGUGCUUGACUUUUACCAAUAAUGUACACUUGUAUGCACAGCUCUGCACUUAUGCAGAGAGCUCCUGCAGGUUAAUGGAAAUAAUGCAGAAGGCAGAAGGGCAAUGCCAGUGAAUCAUUUUGGAAGACGAGUGGGUGAACCCUCUCUCCAUGUUGUGAGCAACAGGAUUAGGUCCUGCAAUAGUGUUGCCUGCGUAGAUUUACGGAGAUAGAGCAGGGAUCUGGGUUUGCCGGAGGUUCUGGUCCCUGUGUUUGUGGCUCUGUUUUGUGAGCUGCUGCUGGUUUCUGAUCGGGAGGCUGUCUGUAAGCAACGGCAGACCUGUCACCAGCGUGGUGGGGCUUUGCCACUCACCUGACCUCCAUAUAGCUGAGUCACAGCAGGACAGAGAAGAGGAGGGGUGCAAUGGUGAGGCCGGUGCGGUGCAAACAAACCAGCGGCGUCAAUCUGGAGCUCCUGCUGUUGUGUUUGCACCUUACUUGUUUAUUUAAUUUAUCAAUCAAAUGUGUAUACUACUCUUAAAUAAGAGAUCCCAGGGUGGCUCACAGAAUAAAAUACAAAAUAAAAAAACCAGCAAAUAAUUAAACCAAAAUAACAAAACAAUAUCCUCUCCCCUUCCCACAGAUACAUUUAAAAGGCUGUUGGAUAUUAAUCAGACAAAGGCCAGAUUGAAGAGGAACGUUUUCACCUGGCACCUAAAAACAUAUAAUGAAUAUAGAAUAAUAUAUAAUGAAGGCGCCAGGCGAACCUCCCUGAGACGUCCGUUCCACUGUCAGACAGCUCUUACUGCCAGAAAGUCCUUCCUGAUGUUGAUUCGGAAUCUCUUUUCUUGUACAGUGGUACCUCGGGUUAAGAACUUAAUUUGUUCCGGAGGUCUGUUCUUAACCUGAAACUGUUCUUAACCUGAAGCACCACUUUAGCUAAUGGGGCCUCCUGCUGCUGCUGCACCGCCGGAGCACGAUUUCUGUCCUCAUCCUGAAGCAAAACUCUUAACCUGAGGUACUAUUUCUGGGUUAGCGGAGUCUGUAACCUGAAGCGUCUGUAACCUGAAGUGUAUGUAACCCGAGGUACCACUGUAACUUGAAGCCAUUGGAUAAGGUCCUACACUCUGGAGCAAGAGAAAACGAGCUUGCUCCAUCUUCCAUAAGACAGCCCUUGAGAUAUUUGAAGGUGGCUAUCAUAUCUCCUCUGAGUCUCCUCUUUUCCAGGCUAAACAUACCCAGCUCUGUCAACCAUUCCUCCUAAAGCUUGGUUUCCAGACCCUUGAUCAUCUUGGUUGCCCUCCUCUGCACUCGUUCCAGAUUGUCAAUGACUAGCAGGUGGCUAGGGUUUGCAGGGACGGACCCAGAAAGUUGGAUUGAGGGAUGUGGUGGGUCAGAUUAUGCUCACAGCCCGAAGGUUUCCACCCCGCUGGAGAUCAUUGGUGCUGUAUUUGUCAACCACCUAAGUAAAUAAAAAGUUUGGAAGCAACUUGGAAGCAACAGCCUUUAGUUUCAAAAUGACAGUCCUCAGUGGUGAUGUUCUCCUCUGAGAUACUUGCCUCAAACAGGCAUGAGGGUGAGAGUUCAGCAACACUUGCAAACUUUGACUAGCCGCUGUGGGAUUAUUUCUUUGAAGCUGGACUCUGCCAGGUCUGAUGUUAAUUAUCAAAGGCAGAGGAGGUCAGCAAAGGCAUUGACACCUAUCUGGAGGUGAUGAUGCUUAAUCAUCACCACUUACUGAACACUUGAAUUGGGCUGCCGGUUGAAGGCAGUUUCUUGGAGACAAUAGGUAUGUCAGACCUCCUUGGGACACUUUUUGCUGUUUCCUAGAAUGUGAUUACGUUCGCCCCGCUUUGGGAGAAUCUUGAGGUCAGUUUUAAUUUAGAGAUAACUACUGGAUCAAAAACUAUAGCCAAAAAAGCUGUUCUAUCUCACUUAUCCCCACAGAAUGAAAAUGUCUAGAGUUACCCUGAGGGGAAUGAAUGAGUAUUACGCCAUCUUAAACUCUGGGCUCCAGAUGUUUGCUGGACCCCAAUAUUGACAAUAUCAGAAGUUCCAAAAUGUGCUGACCCUUUGCCUAGGAAGGGAUUUGUGUGAUGUAGCUAGCAGCCAAUAAUUGUUGAGUUCUAUGCAACAUCCAGAAGCAAUGAGAAUUGGAAAAAUAAAAUGUUCCCAGGAUCUAUUUUCCACUUUAUCAACACCAUUUCCAACCAAGCAAGCUUGCUUCUCGGUGAUUGCAAAGACCUUUGCGUGGACAGGCGGAGUCCCCCAAACCCUGGGCAGCCCCAUGUGGAAUAACAACGUGCUAUGGGAUUAAAAUUGGCCACAACCUUAUUAUGUUUCAGACGUGGGUAGACCUUGGCUCAGGCAUUGGGCGUUUAUCCCUCCCAGUCCCCCACCGGGGAUCUGGGGAACAUCUGGGUUAUCCAGUGGGGGGGAUGGGCUGGCUCUGGAGAACAUAUGUUCAAGCAGAGAGAGCCCGCCCUCAUUACGCUGCCGUCGCAGGGGAGAGCAAUGACGACCUCUAGGCGUACAGACAAAGCCUCCCCUCAAACAACCCCUUUAAUGGGGAACCCUGGUAUCACCACCACAAAGAGGAGGGGGCGUGGGUCACCGCUGCACACGCCCCCCCCCCCAUUCAGGGAAGAUAGACUAAAGGAUUCCGCCCAAGCCCUGAUACCGCCAAAGUUGUGACAUUUUGCUAUGGGAAAGGCAAACCUGCCAAUGCAGGGGAAUUCCCUUCCGGCCCUUCAACAGCGACCCUGACGUAGCAGCGCCUGCGUACCGGUAGAGAAAAGGUUAACUUGCAAAAGAAGUCUUAACUGAGGGUGGGUAGGGUGGGAGAAGCUCUGGAGCCAACUGAUGUUUCCCAGGUAAGAUCCUCCCCCUAUUGUGUGGGCAGGUAGUCCCUCCCCCUACCUGACCUGAUAACCUAGGCAACGCUUCCCCAGGCGGGAUUGGGCAACUGACUGAGGUAGGUGGAGACCUCCAGGUAUCCCACCUGGGGGGAGGCGAAGCCAAGCCUCUGCUAAUGGAGCUGCAUAGGGUCCAGGGGCUGUGUGCGACCACGCAAAGGGCGCCCCCAUUUAAUGUGGGGAGCAGUCAUUGUUGCUUUCAUUCUCUGCUUUGCAAAGGACUCAUCGGUAUAUUUAAAAGAAAGUGCUGAACCUGCUGUCUCUGCACUCUUGUUUUUUUCAUUGCCAAAAAGCUAGCCUGUCAUGAAUCUGAUAGAGGUCCGUCUGCUAUGCAGAAUAGAUCAAUCAUGGCUCCAUCAGGGAAAGCAUUUAUUUUUGGAACAAAGGAAGGAUAACAAAUUGAAUCAGAAACUCAUCAUAUACUGGAGCCAUUGACACUUGUUGUCAGCAUGUAACUUUUACUAAACAUGGUAAAGGCUGGGGACCGUUUCAUCUGCUCUAAAAUCCAGACUGGAACCAUGGUGGUAGUGUUUCCAGAGUGAAUCCAGAACCUGCUGCUUUUUAGCAAGUUCUAGUCCAGGUCCAGAAGUAAAGGAAUGCCUUCUGUGAAAGGAGGGCGAUUGAGAAGGAAAGCAAGGUUGGGGAAGGGCCUACCCAGACCUAUAUCUUAUUUGGAGGCCCUGUUCUAUGUACCAUCACCAAGAGAAGAGAAGUGGGUGCCCACCAAGAUGGGCAGUGGCACCCCAGUUAUGAAACAGCCUCCCCAAAGAGACUCACCCAGUGCCUUCUUUGUGGUCAUACUGGCAUCAUAUUAUUGUUCACCCAUUUUUUUUCUUUUAAAUCUAGCCUGUUUUAUGCAAUUUCACAUUUAAUUUGUAUACCGCUGUCAAGGCUGCCUCAAGUCUUAGCUCACAAAAGACCAACGCCUACGUCUUCUUGUAUACAAAGGUGUUUAUUGCAGUUCAUGGUUUGCUUGGCAUCCUAGGCGCGCAGCCUUACGUCUCUUACGCUAGACCGCCGAAGUCCCCUCUGAGUCAGUCCCUCCUCUGCACCAAUUUAAGAGACUUGCGCUGCUCCACCUCUUUCUCUCCUUCCUUUUCCGCAGGGUCCUUCUACCCACUGGGGUUUCCCCCCUCCUGGAUUCCUCUGAAGCGGAAUCAGACUGCUCUUCCCCCCUCCUGCGGGCUUUGGGACCUGGCCCCUCCUCCGGGCUCCCUGCACUUCCGCGCGCCUCUACAUUUGAACUAGGCGCGCGCGCCAAACCUCUAACUUUCCUUUUGACAGUUACACUACUCCCUUCACUGCUCCCCUCCCUUUCCGGGAGGGCGGCUUGCUCUGACCCCCCUCCUUUCUCUGCUGCUGGAGCUGCUUCCUCUGACACACUGGAAACUCCACCCCCUUCGCUGCACUUUGGUGGGGAGGCUGGUCCUGACGCCCAGCUGCCACUUUGGGAUCCUCCGCUGGCACCCUGCUCCUGACACUUCCCCCCUGGGGCUUCCCUGGCCUUCACCACCGGCGCCCCCUUCUGGGAAUCCUCUGAUUCGCUGGAAAGACUCAUGGAAUCCCUUGAGUCAUUGUCAUCCUCUUCCUCGCUGGCUUGGAAUUCCUCCCCCUCGCUCUCCAUCUCCUGCCUACCCUGUGCCUCUCUCCCUGAACCCCUGACAACCGCCUUCCUAUAUUACUACACACAAGGCAGUUUACAAGCUGAAAAACCAAUGAAAUGUUCUCCUUUUAUUUUUUGGUGAUCUUAAUUGUUAUGUAUUAUAUUCUCAUGUUGUUUUGCUUGUAAAUGUUCUUAUGAAUAUUUUGCAUUAUUCUAAACUGCUCUCUCUCUGUGUGUGUACACAGUUUUUUAAAUGAAUGAAUGAAUGAAUGAAUAAAUAAGCAUGCAAGCAAGCAAGGAAGGAAGGAAGGAAGGAAGCCACCCUGGGAAUAUUUACUGAAGGCCAGCUAUGUAUUAUAUGUUCAUUUAAAAAGAAGAAGAGUGGAGCCUAUCAAUAACGUCCCCCAAUAAUGUCUCCACCCCCCUCACUGAAUCAGAGGACUCGGGGUUGGUCGCUGGUAAUAUCCUAAACAUUCAUUUUAUUACUGAGCUACAAAGAUCAUGAUCUCGACUUGAUAUCUUAUGAAACUCCUUCCUUCCCCGGAGGGGGCCGCUAGGGGUGCAUUGGAAGAUGGCCGACAAUACCAUCUCUCCGGCUCACACGAGGUAAUUAAGAGGCUGAUAUGGGAGUAUGCAGUCUCCCUUGUUACCCCAAGGGAAUGGGGAACACUGCCUCGCCUGCGGUUGCCAUAAAUCACCCCCGGAUUCGAAAGAAGGGGGUGAGGGCACUAGGCGCACAACCCUCGUGUGGGACGGCUCUCCCAGACGCUGUCUCUGAUCGCGCGACCUGGUUGCAAGAGCUCAAAAUAAACAAUUAGAGAGAAGCAAAUGCACAUAUUUCGAGUGAAGAUCGGGAGAUAAGACUGCUAAUUGAAGUGACCUCUGUGAAGUGGAGCGACAGGUUGGAUUCAACAAUACAUCAAGAAGAAGAUACAUCAAAGGGUCGGUAUGUUGGAACGGGACUGAAAGGGGGGGGGCUUUUCUUUUUUUAUCUUAUGUGAGUACCUAACAAUCCUCCCCCCAAGAAGAAUCGUUGCAAUUACUGAUCAUAAGCAGGAUGAUUAAGAACUGUGUGGAAAUAAAUUACUAAUCAAAGACAUGGCAUGUGGAAUAUCUGGAAAGGAAUGAAAGGUCUUUGUGACGCAGUUAUAAAAAGAGACUCGUUAGGGCAGGCUAUAGGAUUUAUGAUCCUGAUCAAGGAGGAGGAGACCACGGCUUGUUAUUAUAUCAGACUGUGAGUUUGAUCUGGCAGAACCCCCUAAGAAGAUUGAGGAGAGACUGACAGGCCUGCAAGGAUUAAUGGGCAGACUUUAAGAAUGUUUUGUACGGAAGUGCGGAAAUGGCGUUUGUCUGUUUAAAUAUGGCUCUUGGAACGGAAAAUCCACACAGGAUAUAACAACGUUUGUUUUCAACCCACUUGUGGAGACUAUCAGAGGUCACAAAGAAAGGAAUAUAUGACAACAACAACAAGAAGAUGAGGAAAAUAAUAAAGAGAAGAUUGAACAGAACUGUGAAUACUAUCUGGACAGAACUGUGAACAUUAAAGCAGUAGCAAGAGAGAUGUUUGGAUCCCUUUCUGAGCUCGAAGAAUGGGUACCCCCAACAAAAAUUUAAAAAUUUGGCUGUGUAAUUUGGAAUCAAUGUGAUUUGAUUGGUUUGUUAAUAAAAAUUAUAUUUAAAAAAAAAAAGAAACUCUUUCCUUCCCCAUCUUUGGGCUGCAAAGAAAAAUAGACAUGUUAAAAAUUAGAGGGGAAGGAGAGAAGGGAGAGCCAAUGUAGUAUGGUGGACAGUUGUAACGAGAAACCGAGGUUGGGGGGAGAGCCACCACCUCGGCGUGGACCACCUUAAGCUUGCUGGAGGAAAGGUGACGGGCUAAAUAAGUAAAUAAUCCAGAAUAGCGAUCAAAAUGCUUCUUGGACCCAGGCAGAGGCAUAGCAAGGUCAGGUGGUAGCCGGUGCAGAAUUUUUUUUGUCACACACACCCCACACACAUUGACAGCUCGGGGUAGGCUUGGGAGUCUCAGGCAGGUGGCGCGCCAAAUGUCACCCCCCUCAGCGAUGACACCCAGGGUGGUCCACAACCCCUGCAACCCCAUUCCUAUGGCUCUGGGCCCAGGAGUGCCCAUCGCCCACCCUUGACACACUCUCUCUCUCUCAUUUCCUGCUUAAAAGAGAACAGUAAGUUCCUAAAGGUAUGCAGGUGGCGCUGUGGGUUAAACCACAGAGCCUAGGACUUGCCGAUCAGAAGGUCGGAGGUUCGAAUCCCCGUGACGGGGUGAGCUCCUGUUGCCCAGUCCCUGCUCCUGCCAACCUAGCAGUUCGAAAGCACGUCAAAGUGCAAGUAGAUAAAUAGGUACCACUCUGGCGGGAAGGUAAACGGCGUUUCCAUGCGCUGCUCUGGUUCGCCAGAAGCAGCUUAGUCAUGCUGGCCACAUGACCCGGAAGCUGUACGCCGGCUCCCUCGGCUAAUAAAGAGAGAUGAGCGCCACAACCCUAGAGUCGGUCACGACUGGACCUAAUGGUCAGGGGUCCCUUUACCUUUACCUUUAAGUUCCUAAAAUGGCAGCUGUGGGGCUGACAGCCCAAGGAUUGUUUGGAACACUAAUGGCUCCCAAGCUCUGUCUGUGACAAUUCGCUUCAAAAUCAAGGCUUUUUUGUUCCUCCAGUGAAUAAACAGUGUACCAUGUUAUUCGUCUAUGCCUGAAAGGAUAGUAAGCGCUACAAAUCCUUACAGGCCUAAGUAUAGCAAAGCAAUAGUUUUUUCUUCAUGCUUGGAGUUCCCACAAGAACUUCAGCCACAGUCUAUCGAGAAAUUGAGUGGUGACACUUCUCGGAAACGUCCAUUCAAAGCAUAGAACCACUAAUUAUGUAUUGUGCCUAAUUUGUGCCUUGCAGAAGGUAUUAUUUUGCUUAACUGAGCAAAUGCCUAUUCUAUUAUAACAAUUAUGGAUGCUACAUGCCAUGUUACAUGCUGCUAGCUGUCAAAUGCUUGAAAAGCACCAAGAGAGGUUCAUUGGUCAUCGUGCGCUCUUCUGCAGCUUGGCCUAGCGCAAGGGUGACCUGCAGAACUGGUGGAUUCCAACUCCUAUCAGCCCCAGCCAGCAUGGCCAUUGGUAAGAGAUCAUAGGAGAUGGAGUCUGCAAUCUCUAGAGGGACCAGAAUGGCUGCCCCCAGCCUAGUGGGACAUUAAUGUCAUCCAUAGGCACCAGGCAGCUUACCCAGUCUUGGCAUUUGUUGCAACACCCAUGAUUACGUGUGAAGAAAUAUCUGAGGAAAGAGAUCUUGCAAUAAUAAUAAUAAUAAUAAUAAUAAUAAUAAUAAUAAUAUAUUACUUAUAUCCCACCCAUCUGGCCAAGCCUCCCCAGCCACUCUAGGCAGCACCCAAUAGAAUACAGUGGUGCCUCGCAAGACGAAAAGAAUCCGUUCUGUGAGUCUCUUCGUCUAGCGGUUUUUUCGUCUUGCGAAGCAAGCCCAUUGACGGAUUAGCGGAUUAGCGCUAUUAGCGCUAUUAGCGGCUUUUAGCGGCUUAUCAGCUUAUCGGAUAAGCAGAUAAGCGGCUUAAUGGCUUAGAAAAAGGGGGGGGAGGGGAAAAAAACCGCAGGAACUUGCAAGACAUUUUUGUCUUGCGAAGCAAGCCCAUAGGAGCUUCGUUUUGCAAAGCACCUCCAAAAUGGAAAACUCUUUCGUCUAGCGAGUUUUCCGUCUUGCGAGGCAUUCGUCUUGUGGGGCACCACUGUAUUAAAAACACAAUAAAACAUUUUUAAAAAUUCCCUAAACAGGGCUGCCUUCAGAUAUCUUCUAAAAGUCAGAUAGUUGUUUAUUUCCUUGAUAUUUGAUGGGAGGGCGUUCCACAGGGCGGGCACCACCACCGAGAAGGCCCUCUGCCUGCUUCCCUGUAACCUCACUUCUUGCAGUGAAGGAACCACCAGAAGGCCCUUGGAGCUGGACCUCAGUGUCCGGGCUGAACAAUGGGGAUGGAGACGCUCCUUCAGGUACACUGGGUCAAGGCCAGUAUGUCACUGCAGCCCAGACAUUAAAACUCAAAGUGGUCAUAUAAGUAAAAAAAUCUUCAUCAAGAGCCCCUGAUGUUUUCUCCUACAUUCUGAGAGUGAGGUAUAUCUCAAAUGAUUAUCAAGAGAGAGAAGUCCUUUGUAGAGUUAAUGAGCAAGAUUUAAAUAUCCUGAAUAGCUCCAGAAGGGCUGCAUUUGAACUUUGAAAGUAACAGUACUGGACAGCAUGGUGGGAUGGCAAUACACACCUGGCCUCCCAACAGCUGAGUUGCUAUUGGGUAGGGGCAUGGCAACAGGGAGGCCUAUGCAGUGCGAACACACCAGUACAGCCAUUGCAGGAUGCUCCUGGUGCUGUGCUUACACCACACCAACCUCCCUGCCACCUUGCCCCUCCCAGUGAAUGAGAGAGAUGAGUUACAGCUUAAUUUGCUAGCAUCCAUAUAGUCCUUGGGAUUAUAUUGGAGCCCCGCCAGCUCCCAUCUUAGCCUGUCCAUGUAUUGUUGUUGUCUACUAAUCGUCUUCUUAGGUUGCCUGCUACCAUCAGAAGAAAACUCACAGCAUCCCUCCAGGAAAUCCUAUAUUGCAGGUCACAUGUUAUGUUCCUUAACAUGAUUGCGAACACAGUAGAAGCCUUGCCUCUAAACUAGGGCUGCCAUACAUCUGGAGUUCCCCGGACAUUACCAGGAUUUCAAAGGUGUAAUUGAUGUCUGGGGAAAAUUUCAGAAAUGUGGUGCUUUGUCCUGGAUUUUAGGCAAGUCAAUCAAAAAAAUCACACUUUUUCUGGCGUUCUUGCAACCCUACUCUAAAAGCCUCAGGAAAAAUGCAAUGAAUAUCAAAUUUAGCUUCUAUUUGACUUCAAUAGGUGAUGCUAUAAUAAUUUUCUGAUAAAAUUUAGGUGUUCACCCUCCUUCUUUAGCAGCACCCCAAGGCCCAUUAUAAUCAGUGGGGGUCCUUUUUCACUCCUGAGUUGAAGCUGCUUUGAUCUUAAUGUUAUUGUUUUUGUCUUUCUGUGAGCAUUUAAUUGUACAAGAUGUAUUUCUGCAUUAGCCAUGGUAAUUCACAUUGCUUUCCUUUCUUUUCUUUUUAAAUGGCUUUCACACAGAGGCAAACUUGGGAUGGGAGGGCAAGAGAACAAUAUAGUAAACAAGCAAUUUUUUAUGCCUGUAGCCUUUUCCUGAAGCCCUCUCAUUUCUAAUUAUGAAAACCAGUCUCUCUCACACUUUUGCCCCUAAUUCUGCCUGGUUACUUGGACUCGGUCAGAUUAGAAUGUUAGGUUUGUGACAUCACCUUCAGCUGCCAUGGCAACGCUUGGGUUGCCACCUGAGGAUUCCACAGCUUCAUGAAGGAGGAGACUAAAAGGAAGGAACUCCUUCAGAACAGUCUUUUAAAAAAAAGUGAUUAUUACUCAAUUAUUAAAUUGAUAGUCAUUUCCUUUCACAAUUUCAUGUGUUGCUUACAUCCCGCUCUUCCUUCCUGGGCAGCCAGCAAUGUAAACAGGAAUUCAAUUAAUGCAAAAUAUCAGACUAAAAAUCAAUGCAACAAAAACUCAUAUCAAAAUAUAGUAUUCAAAUGCCAAAUGCAGAUUGAAACAGUGUCAGCAAUACAGCGUACCUGGUUAAAUCUGUAAGAAUUAAUUCAGAAACAUGGCACUUUGAGAAUUUGGAGAAAUCGGAGACAUCUUAUGUAUCAAGCAACAAAUAAAUGUAACAUUUUAAAGAGGGGGUCUCCUUCUAACUUUGAUGUUUCUACCCCAUAUCCCUAUAUCCCCAUUUUUCUAACCAUAUAGGAGAGACCAGUCACAUGUGCCUUUCCCUCCCAAUCAGAACCCUGAUGGAAGAGUAGAUGCUAAUCAGGUGGGAGAUUCAGGUAAUCUGCCCCACUCAUGUGGUUGGAAUAUUUACAGUCACUCAUCAGCAGUAUGGGAUUCCGCCACAAGGAUGUAUGGAUCCCCUACUGCAGGUGACAUAAGAAAAGGGGAGUUCUUAAGUUUCACAGUCAGCUCCCACUAUGAUCUACCCUAGGGGUGGAGAAUCUGUGUGAACCUCCAGAUUGUUAGACUCCAACUCCCAUUGGCCCCAGCCAGCAUGGCCAAUGAUCAGGGAUGGAUAGUAGUUAUUAAGGCGGCAACAUCUGGAGGACCAGAGAUGGUCCCCAUCUAUGGUCUAUAUGAACUGGCAGAAACUCUCCAAAGUUUCAGACAGCAGUUGUUUCCAGCACCACUUGGAGAUGCCCAGAAUUGAAUCAGAACUUUUUGCAUGGGAAGAAUAUGCUCCAGUAAUGGAUCCAAAUGCAUAAAUAUUCUGUGUGUAAUUCUAAAAAUGCUUUAGGAUCAUAUAAUUGGAAGGGAUUGAACUUGCAACCAUAGCAUUAUCAGCACUGUGCUCUAAAUAACUGAGCUAUCCAGGCUGACUAAUCAAAAGUGAUUCUUGUUGAGGCCAAUGGGACUUAUUCCAAAGUCAGUGAGUGCUUAGGAUCAUACUUUACAGCCUACCCUAUCCUAUGUAUGCCAACUUGGAAGAAAUUGCAUCCAGUGGGGCUAGCAAGUAGAUAAGAAGGGACUCUGCCUAACACUGAGUCAGCCCAUUGGCCCAUCUAGCUCAAUAUUGUGCAUAAAGAGUGGCAGCAGCUCUCCAGGGUUUGGGGCAGGGAAUAUUCCCAACCCUACCUGGAGAUGAUCAGGACUGAACGAGGGACCUUCUAUAUGUUAGCAGAUGCUUUACUGUUGAGCUGCAGCCCUUCCCAACAUACGGUAAAUGUGUUUUCUGUAUGCGUUUCCUUGGUAUUAGGCCUGGGGUUCACUUCAGAAUAGACAUUGAUUGCCGUCGAUGCCAAAUUUGACACUUUUACCCUCUUUCCUUUCCAACACCCUUCAGUCGAAUAGCAUCCAUCACUGGAGAUAACGGGAUGAGAAAUUAAGAGAGCAUAAAUCAUUUCGCUAUAAAUACCAGUCUGCAAAAAAUGGUACUUUUCGCAAGGAAGCAGAUCAGAAAAAUUUGCUUGAGAAUUCCCUCCACUCCUAAGACCAUUAAGAAGAGUCUGCUAAAGUAGACCAGUGGUCCAUUUAAUCGAGCAUCCUCCUCUCAUGUGGCUAGCCAGAUACCUGUGGAAAGCCUGCAAGCAAGACAUGCUGAGUACAGCAGCACUCUCCCUUCCUGUGGUUUCUAGCAACUGGUAUUCAGAGUCAUUGUGUCUCUCACAGUGGAGGUAGAACAUAGCCAUUGUGACCAGUAGCUGUUGCCUAAAGGUAAAGGGACCCUUGACCGUUAGGUCCAGUCGCGGACGACUCUGGGGUUGCGGCACUCAUCUCGCUUUAUUGGCCGAGGGAGCUGGUGUACAGCUUCCGGGUUAUGUGGCUAGCAUGACUAAGCUGCUUCUGGUGAACCAUAGCAGCGCACGGAAAUGCCAUUUACCUUCCUGCCGGAGCGGUACCUAUUUAUCUACUUGCACUUUGAGGUGCUUUCGAACUGCUAGGUUGGCAGGAGCAGGGACCGAGCAACGGGAGCUCACCCCGUCGCGGGGAUUCGAACCACCGACCUUCUGAUCGGCAAGCUAGUGUGGUGUAGUGGUUAAGAGCGGUGGACUCGUAAUCUGGUGAACCGGGUUCGCUUCCCCGCUCCUCCACAUGCAGCUGCUGGGUGACCUUGGACUAGUCACACUUCUCUGAAGUCUCUCAGCCUCUCACUCACCUCACAGAGUGUUUGUUGUGGGGGAGGAAGGGAAAGGAGAUUGUUACCCGCUUUGAGGUUCCUUAGGGUAAUGAUAAAGCGGGAUAUCAAAUCCAAGUCCUAGGCUCUGUGAUUUAGAUCACAGUGCCACCAGUGUCCCUAGCCCUUAUUUCCGCUUCCCCAUACCUGCCUUUCUUUUCAGCUCUACCACAUGCCAGUGGCAUUAUUUGGAAAACCUGGAGCAAAAUGAAACUGGCCUGAAGGCAGAGGCAAAGUUAGGAGGGUGUACUUCAGAAGGCCAUCCUUAAAACCAAUUUUACGAACCAGCUCCCUCGGAGCAGAGCACAGCUGGGAUGCUGCGCCAUUUUGCAUACAAAGGACCCUCUCGUUCUCUGCGUGAACUAUCGCACAUCUCUUAAUAAAAAGGGGAAAGAAAAUUGCUCUUCGAUGGCCAUGAUGAGCCCUUGGAUGCAUAACAACUCCUUUAGCAACUACGAUAUUGCUAGACACAAAUCCUGCCAUAUUAUUAAGCAGUUCUAAGCACCCGAACAAUGUAAUGGUUCCUUCGAGACAUAUUAUAUAACACAAGGUAAAACAUUAUGGAAAAUUGUCUUUAAUUUAUUCAUAGUUUGGGGAAUCAGAAGGGAGCACUGAGGAAGUGGAGGGAACCGAUACAGAUUAUGCGGAAGAGCUGCACACUAUGUCAAAGGACGCCUUAUUUGCUCGCCGUGAUGCCUGCUCCAUAUGUCAAGACAUUAGUGGGAAAUAGGUAGCAGAAAGGAGCCGUAGCUCAUUGGAGGAGAACUUGCUUUGCAUGCAUAAGAGCAUAAGGAGAGCCCUGCUGGACCAGACCAAAGAACCCUCAAAUCCAGCAUCCUGUUUCUCAUACUGGCCAGUCAGAUGGCUUCAGAAAGUCCACAAGCAGGCCAUACAGGUGUUAGCCCUUUCCCACUUAUGCUCCCUAGCAAGUGGUAUUCAUCAGCAUGCCACCCGUGAACCUAGAGGUGGUGUCUCAGGUUCAGUCCUCGCAUCCAUCACAGGUUAACAACAAAAACUAAUGCUAUUCUAGACUGCAUUAACAGAAGUACAGUGUCCAGAUCAAGGGAAGUAAUAGUACCACUCUAUUCUGCCUUGGGACACGGGUGGUGCUGUGGGUUAAACCACAGAGCCUAGGACUUGCCAAGCAGAAGGUCGGCGGUUCGAAUCCCUGCGAUGGGGUGAGCUCCCGUUGCUCAGUCCCUGCUCCUGCCAACCUAGCAGUUCAAAAGCACCUCAAAGUGCAAGUAGAUAAAUAGGUACUGCUCCAGUGGGAAGGUAAACGGCAUUUCCGUGCGCUGCUAUGGUUCACCAGAAGCAGCUUAGUCAUGCUAGCCACAUAACCCGGAAGCCUCCCUCGGCCAAUAAAGCAAGAUGAGCACCUCAACCCCAGUCGGUCACGACUGGACCUAAUGGUCAGGGGUCCCUUUACCUUUACCUUUAUUCUGCCUUGGUCAGACCACACCUGGAGUACUGUGUCCAAUUCUGGAUGCCACAAUUUAAGAAGGUUGUUGACAAGUUGGAGCAUGUGCAGAGGAGGGCAACAAAAAUGUACAAGGGUUUGGGGGGGAAGCCUUAUGAGGAACAGUUGAAGGAGUUGGGUAUGUUUAGCCUGGAAAAGAGGAGACUCAGAGGACAUAUGAUAGCCAUCUUCGAAUAUCUCAAGGGCUGUCUUAUGGAAGAUGGAACAAACUUGUUUUCUCCUGCUCUGGAUGGAAGGACCCGAACCAAUGGAUUCAAGUUACAAGAAAGGGGAUUCCAACUAAACAUCAACUAAACUUUCUAAGGGUAAAAGCCGUUCAACAGCGGAACAGUCUGCCUCGUGAGGUUGUGGAUUCUCCUUUCUUGGAGGUUAUUAGCAGAAGUUGAGUGGCCAUCUGUCGUGGAUGCUUCAGCUGAGAUUCCUGCAUUGCAAGCAGUUCGACUAGAUGACCCUUGCGGUCCAUUCCAACUCUACAAUUCCAUGAUUCUGUUUUUCUAAGGGGUCCUGCCAAACCUCCCUCCAAACUGCUUGCUUAUAACUUCCCAGCCAUCUUCAAAAUGUCUGUUCAACUGGGACAAGGUGUGCUGACACGUGCAUGUAGAACAUGCAAUCUGUGCCCAAUCCCUGCAGCCGUAAGGUAUUUUAUUAUUCAAAUUGGAACACCAUGUCCACUUUCUGCCUCCACCACAGUGAUGGCUAUGUGAUAUUCUCACAAAUGUACUGCUCACAGGAUGACAGAUUUCCAAAAAUGCAAAAGAACAAUAUUUCCUAUCUUCUCCCUUCUUCUCACUGACAUGUUAAUUGACAUGCCAGAUAAUGAAGUCAUCAAAUUAUAAUAAUUUGGGGGGAAAUCUAUUAUUGACUCAUCGUGCUGCAUACUUUAUAUGAUCUCCCUAUGCUAAUUACUUGUACAGAUCCUGCGGCUAAAAAAAAUAAAUAGUGAUUCAGUUUUAUUUUAUUUUUAACAAGGGACUGUCCCUGCUUGCUCUGCUUACCAACCACCCUGCUAUUUCACCAUAUUAACUUCCUAGAGUUUCCCCUUUCCACCCCAUGCAACUACCGAUCUUGCUUUUCACCUUCUCAACCCCAUUUCUGAAGCCACUUCUCUCUUCUAUUCUGCAGCCCUGCUUUACAUCCUUGUUUUUACCUUCACCCCAUGUCCAUCCCUUCUCCCCCUCCUUUUGUGCAACCCCCCCAUGCACACAAAGCAGCCCCAAAGUAACCUCCUGCAUCUUGCUCCUCCCCCCCCCCCAGCAACUACAAAGCACCCUUUUCACCUUCUGCCCAGUUGUGAGGUCACCAUCCUCUCCUAUUCUGCAGACCCUCUCAUGACCCAGCUUUCAUCUUCAGCCCCAUCCCCAUGCUUCCUGCUCCCUCCCACCUUUGCACCCCCCCCCCCAAUUUUCCCCAUCGUUGCCGUUUUUCUUCUUCUCUCCUUGCUUUUUCAGCUUUCAUGGGCACACAGAUCACCUCCGUUUCCAUGCCUUACAAUACGAUAAUACAAUAUGAUAAUCUUUAUUGUCAUUGUCCCAUACAGAACAACGAAACUGAAAAAUCUACAUAAGACAUUCAAAAACCAACAAGCCUGCUAUCCCAGCUAUCCCAAGUUGGUUAGCCCCCUAAAAACUCUGAUACCCCAUAAUUAAAUACAAUAUACUCCCAUAGAGACUCCUUAAAGGUAAAGGUAAAGGGAUCCCUGACCAUUAGGUCCAGUCAUGACCGACUCUGGGGUUGCGGCGCUCAUCUCGCUUUAUUGGCCGAGGGAGCCGGCGUAUAGCUUCCUGGUCAUGUGGCCAGCAUGACAAAGCCACUUCUGGUGAACCAGAGCAGCACACUGAAACGCCGUUUACCUUCCCGCCGGAGCGGUACCUAUUUAUCUACUUGCACUUUGACGUGCUUUCAAACUGCUAGGUUGGCAGGAGCAGGGUCCGAGCAACGGGAGCUCACCCCGUUGUGGGGAUUCGAACUAUCAACCUUCUGAUUGGCAAGUCCGAGGCUCUGUGGUUUAACCCACAGCACCCCCCGCAUCCCUUAGAGACUCCUUACACUGCGUUUAAAACCAAAAUCACAUUUGGAUAGAAACUGUUUCUCAGGCGGCUAGUCCUAGUCUUUAUAACCCUGUACCUUCUUCCAGAAGGCAGAAGCUGAAAGAGAUCAUUUCCUGGGUGCGUACUAUCCUGCGCUAUCUCUGCAGCUUUCUUAUGGCACCUGGAAGCAUAGAUUUGAUCCAAGGUGGGAAGAGUGCACACCCAGUGCUUUUUUUCUGGGGGGACGCAUACCCCUAAACAUUUUGUGAAUCUAAGUUUGGCCUCAUUGAGGGGCAGUAUUUCAAUAUGCGUAGGAAAUUUGAGUACCCCUAAACAUUUUUUUAAAGAAAAAAAGCACUGCUUACUCCUAUUGUGCAGCCUCCCUUUUUACACAUUUUGUGCGCACACACACACACAGACACACACACAAUUAUCAUCUUCACCCUUUUCCCUGCCUCCUCCUUCCUCCGUUUUCAACUUUCCCUUACAGACAGACAACCCUGAUUCUGAUCACCGGGUCUCCUCCUCUCUGCCAUUUUCCACUUCCCUUUGUGCACACCCUAUGCUGGUCAAUGUUACAGUAUCUUUUUGAAUCUUUAAGACCAAUCCUGUCAGUUAUCGUUUUCAGUUUGAGAAAGUGAUGUUCGUGCGAUGGAUGUUGGUAUGUAUAUGAGUGUUUGCUUGUUAAUAAAAUAUCUCUUCUAAACUACUACACUGAAUCUGGAACUUCAUGUGGUAAACUGCAGAGUGAAAUGCAUUGUGAGAAGGUGCAAAUAAUAAAAUUAUUAUUAUUAUUAUUAUUAUUAUUAUUAUUAUUGAUGCAGAGCCCUCAGAUGUUGCAUUGUAGUGAGGUAUUUUACUGAAACUUCUGCCAUUGUUUAAAAUUGCCAUUUCCCUCUCAAUUUCCUCCAUCCCUGCUUUGCUCAAAGUUCAGCUGUUAUUUUAAACCACUACUUGCCCCCUCUCAGUGUUCCAUCCUUCUCACGCUUAUGCCAUGGCCACUGUUGUCGUGCAAUCUGCCUUCUCUUCUGCUGCCCUACCCAGCCCCGACUUCACGAAAAUUGAGAGCUGUGAUGCAGCACUGCAAAUCCUCCUUACAUUUUUAAGCAAAUAAGAAGAAAAGCUGUCUCCAACCACAGACCUGAGUACAUACCCUAAUAAAUUUAAUGAGCUAUAAGAAUGUCAUUUUAGCCACCAAAGUCCAACUGGAAGAUGUUAGAAAAACCGAAUUCUUCUUCUUCUUCUUUGCCACUUGGCUGAAGUGACAUUUUCAGGAAUGUUGUUAGCAAGAAUCCUGUGUGUCGUGAUUUUAUUAUAACCAAGAAGGACCAAUAAUGUAACACAGAAGUGGAGACAGGAAGAGGACAGUGUGAUAAUAAUGAAAUAUUUUCUCCUCGUGGUGGACAGACUAAAAGCUCAUGUCCUGCUUAUAAAUGUCAGUAUUUCUUCCUGCACUUUAACAGUCUCUCUCUCUCUCUCUCCUUCCCUCCCUCCCUCCACCCCCACCCCAAUAGCUGGUAGGUUAUAAGCAAUACAUUUUACUAUAUGAAAAAAGGUUUGACAUGGCUGUCAUCCCGUUGAGCUGACCUAUGGAUGCUAUUGAUCCAUUCGCUCAUUUCAAUUUCUAAUCCACCCAAUCACAAAAUGCCUGGAGCAAGUGGGGAACACGUAAAGCAAUGAGCCAAUAAAUAAACCAGUUGAUAAAAAAAAUACCCCAUUACAGUACAAAAUACUGUCCACUGACAAAAUGCACUAUUUGAUUAUCUCAAGAGUAGCCUAUGCGAAGUCCUCUAAGUGAUGUAGACUACAACUCCCAUCAUUCCUGGUCAUUGAGGUCCAGCACCGAGAGCCUUCUGGCGGUUCCCUCACUGCGAGAAGCCAAGUUACAGGGAACCAGGCAGAGGGCCUUCUUGGUGGUGGCGCCUGCCCUGUGGAACACCCUCCCACCAGAUGUCAAAGAGAACAACAACUACCAGGCUUUUAGAAGACAUCUGAAGGCAGCCCUGUUUCGGGAAGCUUUUAAUGUUUGAUGUAUUAUAGUAUUUUAAUAUUCUUUUGGAAGCCGCCCAGAGUGGCCGGGGAAGCCCAGCCAGAUGGGCGGGGUAUAAAUAAUAAAUUAUUAUUAUUAUUAUUAUUAUUAUUAUUAGGCAUGCUGGAUGGGAUGGAUGGGAGUUGUAGUCCACACAUGUUCUGAAGGAUCCCAUGUUGGCUACCCUUGCACCAGGCCAAGCUGCUGACUGAGUGCAAUGAGCACAUCGCCUUUCAUGGGACCAAAAUCCCGAUGCAGCAAGAAGCAGAAAGCACUCCUGCAGAAAGAUCUGUUCUCCUAUAUACUAUACAUUUUAGAAAGUGUUCUAUUUGUCCAUCUGUUUGCUAUAGGUGUGGCUACCUCUCAAUGUACUGUCACCAAACUUGGCAUGAAGGUUCCCACAGUCUUCAUUGAUGUUCAGAUGGCAGGCACCAUAUUGAUUCAAGAUGAUGGACCAAAAUAUGACAUUGGCAUGAUUUCACCUUUUAUUUUUAUUUUUCCUUUUCUUUUUCCUUUUCUUUUUUGCAUAGGUGACGAUGUCUCUUGAAAUACUGAAGUGGGAGUGGCAAUUUACAUCAAUGUUUGAGUGCAAUUUUGAGUCAAGAUGGCAGGACAAAAUGUGGCUUUGGUGUGAAUUUGCCCAAUUUUUGGCAUGAUGGGGCAAAUUCGCAAAUUGCACUACCCAUUUGAAAAACACAAUAAUUUUUGGUUUCUACAAAUUCCCAGGCAGUGCCAGGCAGCCUCCGCUACUUCACCAUACUGGGGAAUCUAGAAAUGGCUCUAACGUGUCCUUCUUUUGACCAAAGUGGAUGGAAUUUACAGGCACAGUAGCCCCUCCAAGUUGGAUUAAGCGUGUAAAGUUGCAAACAAAUAGGUCCAAGGGCAAUUGUGGUGGAAGCAAAAGGAAUUCACUUUCCUCCAUAGUUCAUGAAGGGAGGGGGGGUGGAAGAGAAGAAGUCUGUCUCUUUCUUAUGCUUAGGAGAUGAGCAAGCAGUGUGUAGUCCUACUUGUACAUUAAAAAAAACUUUGCGGCUUCACAACAGCCCUUCCUUUCCAGUGCUUCUGUCCUCCAGUAGACAUUAUAGGCUUGAAAAGGUCUUACACUUCUUCAAUGGACUUUAUAACAUUGGGCUUUCCAAAACACUGUCUGUGGAGUUCUGAAAAGCUCUGAAUUGUUGUUUUCCAUAAAGCAGAGCAUCACCGUUUGUUUGUUUGUUUGUUUGUUUGUUUGUUUGUUUGUUUGUUAAAAAGAAAGCUUAAAUGAAGCUUUUAACUUUCAGAACUGCAAGCAUUCCACAUCUGGCAGAACACUGAUUGGAUUACAGGCCCAGUGCAUUAUGGGAAACUCCUUGCUAAACCUGGUUCCCUCUGCUAGGCCUAAGGCAUCCCAAAAUAGAGGAGAGUCCCUACUACAUAGAUUGACAAGAUAGCAAGACGAGAGAACCCCUUCCUGCUGCAAAAGUUGGGAGUCUGGAGGGACGGGAUUAUUAAAAUGUAUUUGAAAGAAA